rnacentral:misc_RNA from 1 species
CUGCGAGUUCGCGGGAGAGUAAGUUAUUGCCAGGGUUUUUGUUUUAUACUUUAAAUAUUGAUUUUAUUUUUUAUGUUUUUAGAUGUUCAUGUUUUUGAAUGUUUUAUUCAAAUAAUAUAAAAAAUAAAAUAUAUAUUGACAUGGAUUAAACAAAGAUAUAUAUUAUUCUAUGUUGUAUAAACAAAUUGGCAAAAUAGAGAUGGAAGAUAAAAAUAUGGUCAAAGUAAUAAGAGUCUAUGGUGAAUGCCUAGGA